rnacentral:rRNA from 1 species
UACAGAGGUCUCAAGCGUUGUUCGGAUUCAUUGGGCGUAAAGGGUGUGUAGGUGGCGCGCUAAGUCGGGUGUGAAAUUUCGGAGCUUAACUCCGAAACUGCAUUCGAUACUGGCGUGCUUGAGGACUGGAGAGGAGACUGGAAUUCAUGGUGUAGCAGUGAAAUGCGUAGAGAUCAAUGAGGAAGACCAGUGGCGAAGGCGGGUCUCUGGACAGUUCCUGACACUGAGACACGAAGGCCAGGGGAG